rnacentral:lncRNA from 1 species
UUUGGAGAAUUGGGGAAAGUGAAAAUGGGAAGGAUGUGUGCUAACUUUAAGGUCAUUAUAUAUAUGGAUGGGAAAAAAAGGUGAAAGAGAAAAUUUAGUUACGGUUUGAGGUGUGGGGGCUGCGAUGAGGGGACGCGUGCAAUACAAGGUAAUUGAUGAGUAUAAUGAUAUUUUUUAUUAUAGUAAUUAACAGUAUUCGGUUUACUAAUGAAAAACGCUAACUCAUAAAGAAGAAUGAAAUUAUAUUCUCUUAUUUCCAUAUUUAUUUAUUACUUCCUUCAUUUUAAGAAGAAUGAUUUUUUUUUUAAUUAUUUAAAAAAGAAUUUUUUUUAAGUAAUAUUUUAAUUUCAACUUUUCACGUGAUAUAUUUAGAACCAUAAGAUUAAGAAGCGUGAUAAAUUUUAUUUUAAAAAGUUCAUCUUCUUUUUGUACAUAUUAAACUUGGUAUUAUUUGUUAGGUACUAUUUUUUAAUACAUACCAUUAUUCUUGAAGCAGAUUUUUCUUUUUCACUCCACAAAAAUCCAGUGCAUUGAACUUAUACUUGAAAAAGGAAACAAAAAAGGCUCUACUAGACAAAUCUACCCGAAACUCAAGUUUUGAUAGAAUGACAUUUGACACUAUCACUUUCAUCAUUCCCUAUUGUUUUAUCAUAAUAAAGUCAAAUACAUAUGAAUCUGGUGUAGGUAACAUGCAAUUAUAUUUAUUUAUUUGAUAUGGGGAAAAAUACGAUUGAUAGAGGAGAAUAAAAACAGAAAAAAUUAGAGAGAGGGGCAGCAAAUUAAAGAGAAAGCAGACUCGAGAUCAAUAUGGGUUGCCGUGCAGCGGAUGGGGCUGCUCCACCCUUAACCAGAGAUCGAGGAUUCGACUCUGAGCAUGGAGAAAACUCUGUUGAAAGUCCUACCUUUCGAAUGUGGCCCUACCUGGUGCGAAUCUGAAUUAGUCAGGCUCUAAUGCGGAUACCAAACAUCGAAUGAAAAAAAAAAAAAAACAGACUCGAGAAACUUUGGCGUCAUCAGUAGGAUUUGAAAUUCAUGACAUUCUGUUUUUUGGGAUUGCCGUAUGAGGUUCACAACUUGCUUUUGAAGCAAAAUAAGUGGUUACUCUAUCAACAUUGGGUACCGUCAUACCGCAUACGUCGCUUUUUCUGAAACAACUUCACUGGGAUGGAAGAGACAACAUAAAAAAAAAAAAAAAAAAAAAAAAGAACAACUGAGAAUAAAUGCUAAUCAUUGAUAUUGAUUGAAAAAAAAGAGUACAUCCUACUUAUAAGAAAUUAAAUAAAAUAAAUAAAUAGAAUAUGAUAUUUUUUUUUUAUAGAUAUUAGAUUAAAUAUUUUGUAUUUAAUAAAUUCCACAUUUAAAAAGAAGUAAAUAGUAUAAAAUAUUCUUAGACUAAAAAGAGAAAAUAAAAAUAUUCUAUCAUUAAUGAAAAUCAUAAGAUACAAGGAAAGUAAAUUUCGACAUUCCCCCCAAACUCAAGUUGGUGUAUCCAAUUUGAGUUUAAACACUUAAUUAUUCUUAAAAAAGCGUACUUCUCCGUGAUUUUGUUGCAACAAAUUAAAAAAAUUGGUCUUCCUCAUGUUCUUCUUCCACAAGUAGUAUUUUUGAUUUAUCUUUAGUGUUUUUAAACUUGCAUACUUUUGUGAUAUGACCUUUUUGUUUGCAACUUUCACAUAAUGCAUCAUAUAUCCACCAACAAAAUUUUUCUAAGUAUGUCUUUUUUUUUUUUGCAAUAUUUGUAAGGAGGAUAAUCAAUUUUACAUUUUUGGUGGCUCACAUCAAAAAUUUCUUCAACAAUUUUUUCUUCCCGGUAAGCACUUCUUUGCUCUUAUGUUUGAAGAACUCUUAUCAAUUCUGCAAGAGAAAUGACAGAGUGAUCUUUAGACUCUUCUAAAGAGGAGAUUUUGGACUUGAAUCUCUCAGGAAUAGUCACCAGAUUUUUUUUAACUAUUCUAUUAUCCUUAAAAUCUUCGCCAAGCAACCUAAUUCUAUUGACAAUCAAAGAAAUUUUGUCAGAAUACUUAGUAGUUGUCUUACCUUAUUGCAUCCUAAGUAAUUCAAAAUCUCUUUCCAAAUUUAAAAUUUGAUUUUAUCUACCUCGUUCACUUCCUUGGUACUCCUUUUCAAGCUUAUCCCAAGCUUCUUUUAUUUUUUCACAUGCAAUUAUUUAAAAAAAAAAAAUUGAAUCAACAACUGAAUUUUAAAUUAUAAUUUUUGUUUUAGAUUUUUCUUCUGAGCAAAGUUUGAUUUUAGCAGCAGAAGGAUUUGCAGAAAGUGGUUGUUUAGAUUUGUCUUUCUUACAACUUCCCACAAAUCAUAAGUUUCAAGAUAUGAUUUCAUCUUAACUGCCCAAAUUUGAUAAUUUUCAUCAGUGAAGAUUUAUGGGGCAUUGAAAGAGAGAGUAUUGCUUAUCAUGGUUAAAAACAAGAUUUAAAAUAAUAUGGGUUAAAAAUCAAUUAGAAAUAGUCUUAUGUUAAAAACAAAAGUAAGAGUUAGAAAUAGUCUCGCGUUAAAAAUAAAAGAAUGGAUUAAAAGUAGAUUGAAAAUAGAUAGGAAUUAAAAGUGAUUGAAAAUUUUUCUUCAAUAAAUUCACAGAUCCAAGAGGAUCAAUGAAUACUCUUGAUACCACUAUUAUGAAAUGGAAGAGACAAGAAAGAAAAUUAAAUAGAGAAUGAAUGAUAACUCUUGAUAUUGAUUAUUUUCAUUGAUUAAAAAAAAAAGAGUUCAUCUCUAUUUAUAAGAAACUAAAUACAAUAAAUAAGGAGAAUAUAUAUUUUCCUUAUAGGUAUUAGACUAAAUAUUCUGUAAUUAAUAAACCCUACACUUAUAAGAGAGUAAAUAAUGUAAAAUAUUUUUAGACUAAAAAGAAAAAAAUAAAAAUAUUCUACCAUUAAUGAAAAUUAUAAAAAAUAGAAGGAAUGUAAAUCUCAACACAACUGUGGGUUUGGUAUAACAAAAAUUUAUGAUUUGAAAAUAAUCAUUUUUGAAAUAUUAGUUAUUUUUUGGUGUUAGAAAAUAUUUUCGACUAAAUAAGAAAAUAAUUACUCACUGAAGAGUGAAGAGUAUUUAAAUGUUAAAGAAUGGCGUCGACAUUCAUUAGGGUCAAUGGUAUUAUUAGGGGUCGUUUGGUAGAGCGUAUUAUAACAAUGUUGUAUUAAUUAUGCUGACAUUAUUUCUUAUAUAUUAUUUUGUUUGACGUAUUUGAAGUAAUAUGUCUUAUAUAAUUUUUAUUAAAAAAAUAUUUGACAAAAAUAUACUCAACAUUUUCUGAUCUGUUCUUUUAUUAAAGCACAGAACGACUUGAAAGAUAACCCCAAAAUUAAAAUCAUUCGAAUUCAAACUAGCUGUAGAGAAAGAGAAUAAAUUGAUACUGAACAUGCUUCAUGGAUAAGAUCUUAGAAGCUUGGAAGAUUUGGAUUCAUCCAAGCUGUUGCAAAGCUCACAAGAUAGCUAUAAGUUGGAGAAUUGGUCAAAAAUAAUUUUCUCCAAACCAGUGAAUCAAAGCAAAGUGAAACUAAACAAAAUGGACAUAAAAGUUAUGUGCAUGGCUAAGUGUAAAGAAGAGAGACAAAGUACAGAAAAGAGAGGUAAAAUACUAUAAAAAAUGAAUUGGGGGAAAUAUUGUAGUAGGAAUUUGAGGGACAAUUUUGUUAUUUAAUUUAGUUAAUGCAUGUAUCAAAACAUUUGUAUUAUUAAUACAUAGAAAAAUAUGGUAUUAAUAAUACACAGUUUAAAUACACAAUAGUGUGUAACUAGUAACUAAUGCAAGUAUUAAUUAUACAUAGCCUAAAAAUAAUGUCAAAUCUUUAUCUCUAUCUCUAAUCUCUAAUUUCUAAUAUAUUAAAAGUGUAAAGACGUUUAGAAAAGUCAUUCAAGCUUUUUGUUCUUCAUUAAAUGUCUUUGCAAUAAAAAAAUUAUUUUUUACUUAUUUUCUGUAAUUAUUAAAUCAUUAUAUUUAUAAUAUUUAAAAUAAAAAAGUUUUAAAAUAUAUGAAAAAAAAAUAUUGGUAGAUUUUUCUCUUUGUGUAUUAUAAAAAAGAGACCUAAAAUAUACAAAUAAAGGGGAAAAAAAAAAAGGAAAUCCAUCAAAAUUGGAAUAAUAACAUUGUAGGCAACGAAAUUUUACUAAAUUAAAAUCCGCACAAAAUUUGGAUUAUAUUAAAUUUAAAAUAUAUUGAUCCCAAAUAAAUAUUAGGGAUUAAUAUAAUUGGACUAAUUAUUUAAGUCCAAACAUGAAUGGAUUUAAUUAAAAUUUAAUUUUUAUUGGGCUAGCCCAUUGAUUUGGGCUAGAAAUGACUAACCCUACUUUAGCAAGCCCAAGAUGUCAUCAUAUUAGUUUGGACUACAAAAAACUAAGCCCACUUUAACAAGCCCGAGAUGUCAUCAUAUUCUAGAGGUCUAAUUUGGCGCCACAUGUCAAAUGAUGUGGUAUGCCAAGUCAUAUGAAGGAGCCAAUGUGACUAUGACACGUGUCAAAAUGAUGAUCCUAGUGAAUUAAAAGCCCAUAAAAGGUGUCAUGUCACUUAAAUCUGAUUGGUCAAAGAAAGUUCAUAUUUAUCAUAACCAUGUUACUUAAAUCUGAUUGGCCUAAAGAAAUUGACCUUCACUAUGACUCUUUCCUUUUCACAACUAUAAAUAGGGGUCUCAUAAAUCAGAAAAAGGGGACCAAUAAGUCUAGCAGGAAGCAAGAGAGAGCUCGUGGAUCAAACAACGCAAAUUUCUCUAUAAAUUCAAGAAUUCAAGAUCAGUUCAUCAAGAUUCAAGAUCAAGACUACAAGAUUCAAGAACAAGCUUAAAGACCCUUGCAUUCAAGUACCGAGAGCAAGUUUAUCAAAUCGGCAAAUCAAUUUCAAGUUCAAUAUCAAGACCGCACGAUUCAAGAACAAGCAACAAAGCCCUUGGAUUCAAGCACGAGUCAAGAUCAAAUCCAUCAAGUUCAAGAUCAAGCUUGAAGCCCUUGAAUUUACAUUUGAAAGGCGAAUCAGAGGAUUCAUAGAGAUUGUAACACUCACGUUGAAAUUAAUAAAAUAAUUGUUGCAGUAUUUUUUUCAUGUCUCGAUUAUUAUUUUUAGUCCCGAGA